rnacentral:rRNA from 1 species
GGCGAGUGGCGAACGGGUGAGUAAUGCACCGGAACGUACCCAGUAAUGGGGGAUAACACAUCGAAAGAUGUGCUAAUACCGCAUACGCCCUGAGGGGGAAAGCGGGGGAUCGUAAGACCUCGCGUUAUUGGAGCGGCCGAUGUCGGAUUAGCUAGUUGGUGGGGUAAAGGCCCACCAAGGCGACGAUCCGUAGCUGGUCUGAGAGGACGAUCAGCCACACUGGGACUGAGACACGGCCCAGACUCCUACGGGAGGCAGCAGUGGGGAAUUUUGGACAAUGGGGGCAACCCUGAUCCAGCCAUGCCGCGUGAGUGAAGAAGGCCUUCGGGUUGUAAA